rnacentral:rRNA from 1 species
CCUACGUGAUGCAGCAGUGAGGAAUAUUGGUCAAUGGACGAGAGUCUGAACCAGCCAAGUAGCGUGAAGGAUGACUGCCCUAUGGGUUGUAAACUUCUUUUAUAUGGGAAUAAAAUGUUCCACGUGUGGGUCUUUGUAUGUACCAUAUGAAUAAGGAUCGGCUAACUCCGUGCCCGCAGCCGCGGUAAUACGGAGGAUCCGAGCUUUAUCCGGAUUUAUUGGGUUUAAGGGUAGCGUAGGUGGAUUGUUAAGUCAGUUGUGAAAGUUUGCGGCUCAACCGUAAAAUUGCAGUUGAAACUGGAAGUCUUGAGUACAGUAGAGGUGGGCGGAAUUCGUGGUGUAGCGGUGAAAUGCUUAGAUAUCACGAAGAACUCCGAUUGCGAAGGCAGCUCACUGGACUGCAACUGACACUGAGGCACGAAAGUGUGGGUAUCAAACAGGAUUAGAUACCCGUGUAGUC